rnacentral:lncRNA from 1 species
CCUGUACCUAAGUUAUAGGAUUGUUAGUUAUAGCUUUGCAUUAUGGUCUUUCGUGGAUUUCUUACUUUCAUUCAUUUUCUAUACUUAUUAUUCACUGAGUCGGUAGUACUCACCUCUACUCCCUGCACCUUGUGUUCUUACUUUCAGUCAUUUUCUAUACUUAUUAUUCACUGAGUCGGUAGUAAUCACCUCUACUCCCUGCACCUUGUGUGCAGAUUCAGGUACACCGGAGGCUUAGCUGAUUCUCGUAGUCUCUUGAGAUAUUUUCCGAGUCGUUGAGGUAGCUGCAUGACGUUCGCAGGACCUGUCUACUCUUCAUUAUUUCUUUAUUUUAAUAUUAUUAUAUACUUUCCCAGAUUUUGGUUUUGGUAUUCAGAUACUAUUAUUAUUACUCACUUUUGUUUAGAAGCUCUAGACUCGUAAACCCGCAGAUCAUAUGGGUGUGUCUUCGAUUUCCGUAUUUACUUAUAUUACAUUAUUAAUAUUCUUGGAUUAUUUUUUUUUUAAUUCUCGGUUUGAGACUUAAAUGUUACGUUGGAAGCGAUUGUUGGUCAGGCUUACCUAGCUUUAGGGCUAGGUGCCAUCACGACCGGGUUUGGGUCGUGACAAGUUGGUGACAUCACGACCGAGUUUGUGGUUGAUGUUCAGGCCUUUUCCAAUUAGAUGGUGAGGUUAGAUAUUUCUGAUCCCAGUGGGGUGUUGGAGAGUGUGGUUUCCCGGUCUUCUUUGUAUGACCGCAUCAGAGAGAGGCAGUAUGAUGACCCGCAUUUGCUUGUCCUGAAGGACAAGGUCCAGCAUGAUGAUGCCAUAGAUGUGACCAUUGGAUAUGAUGGUGUAUCGCGGAUGCAGGGCCGGAUUUGCGUGCCCAAUGUGGAUGGUCUCCGGGAAUUGAUUUUAGAGGAGGCUCACAGCUCGCGGUAUUUGAUUCAUCCGGCUGCCGCGAAGAUAUACUAGGAUUUGAGACAACAUCACUGGUGGAGGAGAAUUAAAAAGGACAUUGUGAAUUACGUAGCUUAGUGUCUCAACUGUCAGCAAGUCAAAUACGAGCACCAGAGACCGGUGGUGUACUCCAGCGGAUGGAUAUCUCGGAGUUGAAAUAGGAAAACAUUACUAUGUAUUUUUGAGUGGUCUUCCUCAUACCUCGAAGAAGUUUGAUUCGGUUUGGGUGAUUGUGGAUAGGCUGACUAAGUCUGCGCACAUAUCCGGCAGAGAAGUUAGCAGAGAUUUUCAUUUAGGAGAUUGUACGGUUGCAUGGGGUCCUGGUUUCCAUUGUAUCAUAUAGGGGUACCGUGUUUACUUCCCAGUUCUGGAGGACUUUUCAUCGGGAGUUGNNN